rnacentral:rRNA from 1 species
GAUGAACGCUGGCGGCGUGCUUAACACAUGCAAGUCGAACGGGAAACCUUUUAUUGAAGCUUCGGCAGAUUUCGCUGGUUUCUAGUGGCGGACGGGUGAGUAACGCGUGGGUAACCUGCCUUAUACAGGGGGAUAACAACCAGAAAUGGUUGCUAAUACCGCAUAAGCGCACAGGACCGCAUGGUCCGGUGUGAAAAACUCCGGUGGUAUAAGAUGGACCCGCGUUGGAUUAGCUAGUUGGCAGGGUAACGGCCUACCAAGGCGACGAUCCAUAGCCGGCCUGAGAGGGUGAACGGCCACAUUGGGACUGAGACACGGCCCAGACUCCUACGGGAGGCAGCAGUGGGGAAUAUUGCACAAUGGGGGAAACCCUGAUGCAGCGACGCCGCGUGAAGGAAGAAGUAUCUCGGUAUGUAAACUUCUAUCAGCAGGGAAGAUAGUGACGGUACCUGAAUAAGAAGCCCCGGCUAACUACGUG